AUACGGAGGGUCCAAGCGUUAUCCGGAAUCAUUGGGUUUAAAGGGUCCGCAGGCGGUCAAUUAAGUCAGAGGUGAAAGCCCAGCGCUCAACGAUGGAACUGCCUUUGAUACUGGUUGACUUGAGUUAUACGGAAGUAGAUAGAAUAAGUAGUGUAGCGGUGAAAUGCAUAGAUAUUACUUAGAAUACCGAUUGCGAAGGCAGUCUACUACGUAUAUACUGACGCUGAGGGACGAAAGCGUGGGGAGCGAACAGGAUUAGAUACCCUAGUAGUCC
rnacentral:rRNA from 1 species